UAUUUGCAAAAAUGUUUAAACCUCUUUUCGCUUUGUCAUUAUUGGGUAUUGUGUGUAGAUGAGGAAAAUAAGGCUGUCACGUAACAAAGUGGAAAGUGAAGGGGUCUGAACUUUCCGAAUGCAAUGUAUGUAAGCCUAUUACUAGUGACCCGCUGGAUUAACCACACUUAUGUGACAGAGGUAAGACUGGUAAACGAACCAUGUAAUGGUUAGGACUAACUAAAGUGAUAGUUAGUAUGUGGGUAUUACUGACGGUGGCUAAUAUUUAAUUCAAUAGAAAUUGUCAAAACAAACCACUGAUAAGUUGGGGCAUAUAAUUGAAACAUUCUAGAGUGCAUAAAUCAUCUCGGUAGGUUUGGAAUUACUGUCAGUGUGCACAGGUUACCAUAGGCUCCAGCCUCUGCUUGGAUCUCCAAAUUCAGCCCCACAAAUGAUGAAACAAUAGGCCUACAAUUUAUAAUUUUGAAUAACAUCACUGCUGUUUAUAAUUCAUUGUGGAAAAACCUGACAAGUUGACAUGCUUUUCAGUUUGCUGAAAUGACUAGUUUCACAUUCUGUCGCGACAGGUUGCUCGAUCAUCACAGUUUCCUCAUGAGUAAAGGUGGUGGCAUUAUGAGGGAAUUCAGUCAAGUUCAGAAUACAGCGUACCUGUAAGACACACCACCACACCUUAAUUUCUUUGAUUGCCACAUUAAAUGCUUACCUUAGCUGGCACUGGCAUUUCCCCUAGCACAAGAUCAAGGUCAGAAUACGCAGAGAGAAGUGCCUAAAAACUGAAUAAAUUUCCAUUCCGCGUGUGUAGCUGGUCUGAAUUCCCCCUUUUAGAGACACAAUUAGUUACAUUUUUUUCCCCCCUUCACAUUUUGAACAUUGUCACUUGUGUUAAAAGUACAAGUUGUAUCCUAUUCUCCCCCCCAGUUGGAACAGUAUUUAUACUGCGGGUUGAAUAAUUUUUGUUUUCAAGAUGUUUGUUAGAUGAUACUGUACAAGUUAUUACUAGAUGCUGAAAAUGAGUCCCUCUCAAGUUGGUACAUUUAUAAGUGGAGGAAUCCUUCAGAAAGCACAACACCCAGGUCGCCACAUGUGGCAGCAAAGUCUUACUGUGAUAGACUAGCCAAUGGGAAGUUUGAGUUCUGCCAAAUAACUUUGUUUUGUGUAGUCUCAUAACAUUAACCUUGUGCAAUAAAACAACCAAUGUUUGUA